UCCACCUCACCCUCACCUCACUCACGACCUCACAUCCCCCAUUUCAUACUUUUAGACUUUCAUUCUUUUUUCACUUAGCCGACCACCUCACUCAUGGCUUUUCAUCAAAAAAUAUCAACAAUUCCUCAGGCAGCCCACAACCUUAGCUCUUUGCGAUGACCCUCGUCAUCCCUUCUUUGCGACAUCUCACAACUCUUCAUCCUUUGUCCUCCCUCCUUGAAAAAAAGGAGUGACGGCACAUCUAGCACUAGGGCUUCAGAAACUAUUCAGUCCUAACUUAUCACAUUUUUACUACUGAUGGAGUUGCUGUUUGAAAAAGAAUAUGCCACUGCCAAGGACAUUUGGAUUUUUUUUGCUUGUUGCUGCCAAUAUCAAUAGACCAAUGCAUAUUUCCUUUAAUGCUAUUUGAAUAUUUCUUUUUGCUUGUUGUUGUUGAUGUUGCUACGAAUAUCAGGAGACUAAUUUUGCUUGAGUUCUUGGGUUCUUGAUUUUUUUGUUUGUUGGCUGAUCAAUGUAUAUUUCUUUUAAUUGC